GACAGAGGUGGCAAGCGUUGCUCGGAGUUACUGGGCAUAAAGGGCGCGUAGGCGGUCGUGCACGUCGGUGGUGAAAUCUCCGGGCUCAACCCGGAAACUGCCUCCGAUACGGUGCGACUCGAGUGCGGGAGGGGAGAGUGGAACUUCUGGUGGAGCGGUGAAAUGCGUAGAUAUCAGGAGGAACGCCGGUGGCGAAAGCGACUCUCUGGUCCGCAACUGACGCUGAGGCGCGAAAGCUAGGGGAGCAAACGGG
rnacentral:rRNA from 1 species